CUUCCUGGUAACAUUGGUGGCUAACACUUGCUUAGGCAGGGAUUGUCAUGCAUUCUUUCUAUUAAACUUCAUAGCAAUCUUUUGAGUUAAGAGCCUUGUUAGCAUAUCUUAUUGAUGAGGAGCUGAGACACAGAAAGGAUAAAUAACUUGCCUGAUACUCCAAAGCUAGUAAAUAGAAACGCAGAAUUCAAAAGUAAACAGUCUGACGGCAAAGCUCAAGAGUGUUUUCUACUCUUCCGUACUGUCUCCAGGCAAGUUAGCUUCGGCCAGUAGCCGUUCUCUUUAUGUGCCAGGUGUUCAUAAAUUAGGCGUUUGUGAGUUAGGAAGUAGCUCUGCAACUUUGGCUUUAUAUCAGAAACCAUCACAACUCUCUACUGGCUUUGCUGAGGAAUCAGUCAAUGCAGAGGAGGUCUCGAUCUGUCACUCAGGCUGGACUGCAGUGGCGUGAUCUCGGCUCACUGCAACCUCCGCCUCCUGGGUUCAAGAAAUUCUCCUGCCUCAGCCUCCUGAGUAGCUGGGACUACAGGCAUGCACAACCACAUCCAGGUAAUAUUUGCAUUUUUAAUAGAGAUGGGGUUUCACCAUGUUGGCCAGGCUGGUCUCACUGCUAAAAUUUUACACAAUAUAGAAGUAUGCAAUAUAAACAUGAGAGAUAUUCCUUCUCCCCUUCUUCACUAUUCCAAGGGUAACUCAAUGUUAUCACUUUUCUAUUUAUCUUCUAUGAUGACUUUUAUAUUCAAAUACAUAUAAAUUUUAAGUUUUAUUAAAAUUAUAUCAAACUAUUUAUAUUUUUGUGAAACUUGCCUUUCUACUCACCAAUAUAGUAUCGAAAGAGAAACUCAGUUGGAUCCUUCUCAGGUAAUAAUGGAAAUUAUUGGUUCGUGUAUUCCAAGCAAAGAUUGAAUGACUGAGCGAUAAGAAAAGAAGGAUGGAGCUGGGCCUCGUAUCUCCUGGAUCCAAUACUUUGAACAUUCCUCCCUAGUCUCAGAUUCUCACAGAUUGUCAGUUUGAUUGGUCUCUUUUAUUGGAAAGUAGAUUACAAGAUGAAAAAUAUGGCUACCAACAAUUCCCAAGUAGGGCACUGAAGAAAGCCAGUCAUUCUUUCUCAGUUACACUUCAAAAAGUCCAAGGUAUGACUCAGAUUGAUUCAACUUGGGUUAAGCAUUCAUCUCUGUGUCAAUCAAGUAUAUGUAGGAGACUGGAAUAUCAUGACUGGCACACCUUUAUUCAGGUACCCUAUCCUGGAACAUUUAAUAGCAACCUAAGGAACAGUAUCAUUGCAAAUAUCCUAGCUUUCACUCAGUAUCUACAAAUCUGCUCUGCUUAAAGGUUUCUUCUUGGUGUUCAUGUAUCUGUCUGUCUACACCAUGGCAUUAAAUAAUCCUUACAAGACAAUAAAGUGUAUUGAUUAUCUUGUGUUUUAUACUUCUUCCUUAUAUUAAUUAUCUUGAAUGACUCUUCCUCAUCUCUGAAUCCUGCCUCCAAGAAUAACAGCAACAAAAUAGUUAAAUAAAUUGCUAAUUUAUAUGAUGACCUGUUUAUGUAUUCAAUUUAGAUUUAAGUAAAUGGCAUCAAGAAGGAUGAGUACCAAGGCUUCCCUUCUCCUCAUUUCUCAUGGUUUCAAUGUAUGUGCAUUAAUUUGCUGCUCAAGUUCCGAGUUGUCCAGGAACAUUGACAUGUAUAGAGAUUUGUUUUUAUCUGUAAGUAGCUCUUGUUCAGCUCUUUAUAGUCAAAUAAAUAAAACUAAUAUGCUUUAUUCUCUGUAAUUUAUUUCCAUGCUUAACAUGUUUUAAAACUCCUUAUGUUUCAGGUCUUGUUUUAGAUAUGGAAAUGUAGGAAUAAGUAGUUUGUGG
rnacentral:lncRNA from 1 species